rnacentral:rRNA from 1 species
UACAGAGGCCUCGAGCGUUAGGCGGAAUCACUGGGCUUAAAGCGUGUGUAGGCGGACUUCUAAGUACCUUGUGAAAUCCCACGGCUUACCCGUGGAACGGAUGGGUAUACUGGUCGUCUUGAGCCAUCUGAGGGCUACCGGAACGAAAUGGUGGAGCGGUGAAAUGCGUAGAUAUCAUUGGAACGCCAAUGGUGAAAACAGGUAGCUGGGGAUGUGCUGACGCUGGAGACACGAAAGCCAGGGGAGCGAACGGG